CACAAUAUAAAAAAAAAGCUAGAUGAUUUUCCAACCGGCCGUGCUUACUCAAGUAGAAUAAUCACACUUAUCUCGCCUAAACGAGAUGAAAAAUUCCCCUAUAAACACUUCAUCCCGGCUAGGCGGGAUAAACUUUUCCAUUGAGCAUGCGUAAAUGCCUUUUCUGCAAGAAAUAUGACGUCAAGCACUUAAAUGGCUUCAUCCCGGCAAUAUAAUUAAUCUAUCAGCCGAUCGUGUAAUAGACCUUUCCAAGGUUAACGACGCCAUAAUGAAACACAAUAGUGCAAGGGGUACAAACACAAUGGAAUUCCCUAUAGGUAAAUUUGCAGGGGGUGCAAACACAAUGGUGAAAACAAUGGAUUCAAGAUGGCGUCGUUAACCUUGGAAAGGUCUAUUCUCAUGCAUGUGUGAUUUUUGUAAGCGC